UACGGAGGUGGCAAGCGUUGUUCGGAAUUACUGGGCGUAAAGGGCGCGUAGGCGGCAUGGCAAGUCAGGUGUGAAAGCCCCGGGCUUAACUCGGGAACUGCAUCUGAAACUGCUUUGCUUGAGUCCUGGAGGGGGUAGUGGAAUUCCCAGUGUAGCGGUGAAAUGCGUAGAUAUUGGGAGGAACACCGGUGGCGAAGGCGGCUACCUGGACAGUGACUGACGCUGAGGCGCGAAAGCUAGGGGAGCGAACGGG
rnacentral:rRNA from 1 species